CGGUCUCAGUUCGGAUUGAAGGCUGAAAUUCGCCUUCAUGAAGCUGGAAUUGCUAGUAAUGGCAGGUCAGCAUACUGCCGUGAAUACGUUCCCGGGCCUUGUACACACCGCCCGUCACACCAUGAGAGUUGGAAAUGCCCGAAGUCAGUGACCCAACCGAAAGGGGGGAGCUGCCGAAGGCAGGCCUGGUAACUGGGGUGAAGUCGUAACAAGGUAAC
rnacentral:rRNA from 1 species